UACGGGGGGGGCAAGCGUUGUUCGGAAUUACUGGGCGUAAAGAGCUCGUAGGCGGUUUGUUGCGUCGGCCGUGAAAACUCAGGGCUUAACUCUGAGCCUGCGGUCGAUACGGGCAGACUUGAGUUCGGUAGGGGAGACUGGAAUUCCUGGUGUAGCGGUGAAAUGCGCAGAUAUCAGGAGGAACACCGGUGGCGAAGGCGGGUCUCUGGGCCGAUACUGACGCUGAGGAGCGAAAGCGUGGGGAGCGAACAGG
rnacentral:rRNA from 1 species